rnacentral:rRNA from 1 species
GGGGGGGGGUGGCGGGGGGCCUAACACAUGCAAGUCGAGCGGCAGCACAGUAAGAGCUUGCUCUUACGGGUGGCGAGUGGCGGACGGGUGAGGAAUACAUCGGCAUCUACUUUUUCGUGGGGGAUAACGUAGGGAAACUUACGCUAAUACCGCAUACGACCUACGGGUGAAAGCAGGGGAUCUUCGGACCUUGCGCGAUUGCAUGAGCCGACGUCGGAUUAGCUAGUUGGCGGGGUAAAGGCCCCCCAAGGCGAGGAUCCGUAGCUGGUCUGAGAGGAUGAUCAGCCACACUGGAGCUUGGACACGGUCCAGACUCCUACGGGAGGCAGCAGUGGGGAAUAUUGGACAAUGGGCGCAAGCCUGAUCCAGCCAUACCGCGUGGGUGAAGAAGGCCUUCGGGUUGUAAAGCCCUUUUGUUGGGAAAGAAAAGCAGCAGGUUAAUACCCCGCUGUUCUGACGGUACCCAAAGAAUAAGCACCGGCUAACUUCGUG